AACCGUGAAUGCCGGUAGACAAGAGCUCGGGAGUGAGACAGCGGGGGCUAAGCUUCGUUGUCGAAAGGGAAACAGCCCAGACCCUCAGCUAAGGUCCCCAAAUCCACGCUCAGUGUUAAAGGAUGUCUGAUCGCACAGACAGCCAGGAUGUUGGCUCAGAAGCAGCCACCAUUGAAAGAGUGCGUAAUAGCUCACUGGUCGAGUGAUCGGGCGCCGACAAUGUAUCGGGGCUCAAGCGUGGUACCGAAGCUAGGGGAUUGUCCCUUCGGGGGCGAUCGGUAGAGGAGCGUUCUGCGUGCAGUGAAGCCGGCGGGGUGACCCCUGGUGGAGCGCGUAGAAGUGAGAAUGUCGGCAUGAGUAGCGCAAUUCAGGUGAGAAACCUGGACGCCGUAAGCCCAAGGGUUCCUACGCAAGGUUAUUCCGCGUAGGGUUAGGCGGGCCUAAGCCGAGGGCGAGAGCCGUAGGCGAUGGACAGCAGGUUAGUAUUCCUGCCCCACUGCGCUGGCGUUUGAGACGAGAGGCGUGACCCGGGAGGAUAGAUGGAGCGGGUCUUGUGGACAUGGCCCGUCCUUGCACCGUAGGCGUCUGGCGAUAGGCAAAUCCGUCGCCAGGUCAAGCGGAGGGUGCGAGGGAAGCGGAGACGUCAGUCAAAGCGAUUCUGCUGAGUCCAUGCCGGCUAGAAAAGCGUCGUCGUCGAGUCAGCGUGGUGCCCGUACCGCAAACCGACACUGGUGGGCGACGGUAAGUACCGUCAGGCGUUCGAGAGAACCUUCGUUAAGGAACUCUGCAAUCUAGCUCCGUAACUUCGGGAGAAGGAGCGCCCCUGGGGGUGAGGGACUUCGCGUCCUGAGCGCCCGGGGGCCGCAGUGAGCGGGCCCAGGCGACUGUUUAACAAAAACACAGGUCUCUGCCAACCCGUAAGGGGAAGUAUAGGGGCUGACGCCUGCCCAGUGCCGGAAGGUUAAGGGGAGAGCUGCAAGGCUUGAACCGAAGCCCCGGUGAACGGCGGCCGUAACUAUAACGGUCCUAAG
rnacentral:rRNA from 1 species